rnacentral:rRNA from 1 species
CCUACGGGGGGCUGCAGUGAGGAAUAUUGGUCAAUGGGCGAGAGCCUGAACCAGCCAAGUCGCGUGAGGGAAGACUGCCCUAUGGGUUGUAAACCUCUUUUGUCAGGGAGCAACGCCGGCUACGUGUAGCCGGACUGAGAGUACCUGAAGAAAAAGCAUCGGCUAACUCCGUGCCAGCAGCCGCGGUAAUACGGAGGAUGCGAGCGUUAUCCGGAUUUAUGGGUGGUAAAGGGUGCGUAGGCGGAAUGCCAAGUCAGCGGUAAAAUCGCGGGGCUCAACCUCGCUCCGCCGUUGAAACUGGCGUUCUUGAGGGGGCUAGAAGUAUGCGGAAUGCGUGGUGUAGCGGUGAAAUGCAUAGAGAUCACGCAGAACUCCGAUUGCGAAGGCAGCAUACCGGCGCCCAACUGACGCUGAAGAACGAAAGCGUGGGUAUCGAACAGGAUUAGAUACCCUGGUAGUC